CACCCCUACUAAUGUGUUCGGAUGAUAUUCUUUAUCGCUGUUAAGUGUAGCGUAACAUCCGAGUGGUCGAUUUGACCUCUAACGAGACCAGCCUCGAGACCGUGCGAGAUCUGCACCAGUUCCUGUAAGAUUUAGACAGGAAGUAGAUGUGUGUUUUGGGAUUUAUGCAUUUAAUGUCUCUACAGGAAUGCUAUUUCACAUCAGUAUUCUGAUGCUGUAUGCCAGUCGCCCAUCAUCAUGAUCUUACCCCUAAUAUAUUGAAAGACAGUAGUGCUGAAGAGAUUUGGACAAUCUAUCACCUACAGGAUGAUGUCAGGAUCACAAACAAGUAAGAAAAUCUGUUCAAGAACUUCAAGAAACUGUCCACUGAGACAUAAAAACAUGUACAGAUGCAAUUUCAAAAUACACACAAAGCAGGAUUUGUCAAAAGUGUGUUUUUGACAAAGAAGGUUUAAAACCUUUGUGGAUGUGGAUAUUGAAACUCCUUAAAACUCUUGAAGGAUGAGGAAAAGGAACCAUUGAAAUGGAACAUGUUGGACUCAGGGUUAUCACGAUCAUGCAUUUAUAAAAGAUGACAGCAUAUCAGCACUGCCUUAAGAUUGGAGUUGAGACCUUGUAUUUUUUACACGGAAAAUAAAGAACGGUUGCCGAAUGAAACAGAUGCUCGCAGAAGCAAAUGUAAUGAGGCCAGAAUGAUGGUGAUCAAUUUUGAAUGAUUUCAUUCUGUGGUUGAAAUGAUACUGAUCCAAUUUGGUUGACAAUGAAUACUAAGUAUUUUGUUCUAUAUAAGUAUAAUGGCUUAUUUCAAAACUGUAUAAAGCUUGAUAUAUAAUGUAACGAUAUUAUGUAGGAAUCAAUAUUUUUUGAAGGAUAAAAGAUGUAAUUUUUUUUCAAUCAGAAUUUCCUAAAAAGACUUUCUAAUGUAAGUACAUGUAUGAUUAAUAGAAGUUUGUAAUCCUUUCUUUUACUGUCAUUGAAAUACUGUAGUAAUGAACCACAAUUUUACACCAAAAAUGUUUUAAUUUAACAUGAACAUUUCAAUUUUUUAUGAAGUUUGAAUUGCGGCUCAUAUUGCUUUUUAUUGAUCUGUCUCCCUUAACCUUAGAUUUGUAGUGCAUUCUAUGUACAAUAACAAAUGUAAUAAAUUUAAUUUUGGACCGUGGGAAAGGUCUUGUUUUGAACUCUGCUGAUUUUAACUCAAGCAGUGUAAAUGUCUUUAGUACAUGUACAUCUUUAUAUAACAAAUGAAAUGGCUAUUUUAAAAAAUAUGUACAUGUAUAUCUGUACACAUAAUUGAUCUUGCCAAAGAGUUAUUUCCCUUGUUCACAAUGUAAAAAAAAAAAAAUCUGAAUGAUAUAUGCAUGACUGUUUUACAAAAAGCAAAGAGAUAAAUUUAUUUUAUAUGUUUUAGAAAUGUCCUCAUUGUGUUCAGUAUCUGCUUUUCUUUAUUAAUGAUGUUGAAAUAAACUGUGCUAAUGUUAAAAAGUAUUUUUGUAUCAUGACAUGAUUAUAUAUUGAACCCUGUUCAUUGGAGCUGUGGCCAGAAGUGUUUGGCUAAUACAGCUAGGGGUUCAAAAUAUUUCACAGAGUGAGAUUAAAAUACAGAAAUAAAUUUUAUAUGGUAAAACAUAUAUUUAGAAAACAUCUUGUUGGAUCUUUUCUCAAGUAUGAUCUCAGUUAAAAGGAACUGGGUGUAAAAAGAGCUUACAUGUACAUGUAUAUAUUCUAGAUAUUUAUUUAAAUGCUUUUGGGUCUAUGAAAAAGGCACAAUGUGAAGAAAUGUGAACAUUUUAGUCCAACUUGACAUUAGGGACAGGGAUAUACUAAGUAUGUGUAAGAUCAUGAUCAUGUGACACCUACAUGUAACAGUCAGCUAGAUUUGAAAGGGUAAUAAGGCUUUGAAGUUUGCCAAAUCAUUCUAGGUAUGACUAGGAAAUUAGAUUUGUGUGUGUCUUUUCAUACAUUUUUUUUACACCCCCCCCCCCCAUUUUUAUGGUUUUAUGAUUCUGACUAAGGGUGUUGGUAUGUAACAACCCCACCCCCACCAC